rnacentral:sRNA from 1 species
AUAUAUAUAUAUAUAAAUAAAAUUAUCCAUGGUGAAUGUGGCACAAACAUGUUCGGCUUAUACCAAAUUUACAUUAAAAAAAA